GAUCACUGAGUACUGUCGGUAGGCCUAUACCACCUCUGGUAUGUUUGUACGUUAUGUUACGGUAUUGCAGAUUCAGGAAGUCCAGAACACCCGCCAUACAGUGGGGUAGAGCACUCUGAGUGGUUAUCCAGUGGUCCGAGGGUAAACAAGCAAACAAUGAAGACAUUUUGGCAUUGUUUAGACUAGGUUUUACCAUCUGUGUGACUUUUUCGCUGUACCUCGCCAAUUCUGUUAAUCAGUUCACCAGUGUGUUUUAUGUAGUGGGUGGAGGUGAAACUCUCCUGCAUGGAAAGGCUGGAUGACUCUCUGAAGAAGCAGUGGUGGCACCUGACCAACACCUUCUACGUGGAGACCCCAGAGGGAAACCGUGAGCAGUACGCUUCUGUGAAACUUGUCACCUACAUCCAGCGGUACUGUGGUGGGAUUGUCCAUGUGUCGUUCCGCAUCGAGACGGAGGCCAACUUUCAUCUGGAGAUGGAUGGAAUCCAGAUGGUCGAGAUUUCUAAGACCUUCCAGGAAAUUACCAUCUCUACAGAUGGAAGGGUGUCGACCACAGAGCGAACUCAAACCUUCAUACCUUCCCUACUCCUGAGCCUGGUUCUGGUCCUGAUAUUCCUGGCCCAGACACUGCUGCCGGUCCUGGCGCUGCCUCUGGUUUGGACGCGGCCCGUGGUCCUGGCGCUCCUGUUUCUGGCGCUGUCCGUGGUCCUGACGCUGUCCGUGGUCCUGACACUGUUGUUGGUCUUGACGCUGCUGCCUCUGGUCCUGACUCUGCUACUGGUCUUGACACUGCCCAUGGUCCUGGCGCUCCUAGUUCUGGUGCUGUCCGUGGUUCUGACGCCACUGGUCCUGACGCUGUCCGUGGUUUUGACGCUGCUGCUUACUCCUCUGCUAGCACUCUGAGCUCUGCUCAGCCAGCUUUUCUCGUCCACGGGUCUAGAGGACUUCUCUCUGAGGCUUAAUGGCCUGAGACAAGCGUUUGCAGUCUUGCUCACCGAGGAGCCGAAUGCUAACUUCAUCACUGUGGCAGGGAAGAUGAUCUUGCGCACCAUGGCUGCUCUCAAUGGACAGGUAGCAUUCUUAGGUUGCAUUUAGUCUCACAGGACCAGAUGUGACCUUGACACGCAAGAAUAAAUCAGUCAAUUGGGUGACUGAGUGCACAUCUGAAAUGUAUGCCAGGCAAGUCCAGAGUUAACUGAACAGAUGUUCUCUCCCUUCCCCCCUUUUUUCACUUUCCUCCAGGAUGCUGGUGUGUUUCAACAGGCCUUUGACCAGCUGGUGGCCUUUGCCCAGACUCCUGGUCAUGAGACUGAGCUGCUGGUGGUUCAGGUAUGUCAGGUUGCU